GACUGUUUUAUGAAGUACUUCUCAUCUUUCUCAAGGAGUAUGCAGUUGCUUAUCAAGUCCGGAGGAGGCAUUCAUGAAUUCUCAGAUUCUCAAUUCGCUCGAUGAGAAACUAAAACUUGCUUGCCUCCGGUCAUGUCUUUGCAUUGGGGAGUCUAGAGCCUUAGCAAUGGCCAACAUGGUUCUUGGGCUGAAGGAAAUUCAAAUUCGGGGAGAACCC